GGGAAUUUUCUUUUUGUACAGUGUCAAAGUUGGGAGUUUGGAGGGAAGUAAACAAGGGCUCGAAUAUUUAGUCCCCCAAAGAUGUGCCGCCCGCUGUCCCUGCUACGUACGGCAAGGUUCUAGAAGACGAGUGCAAAAAAACAAGAAGCUCUCGCUGCCCGGCAUAGAACAAGCUAACAAGGACAACCAAUGAUGGAUGGCGACGGAUGUAGUGGAUGCGACGGCGGCACUGCCGGUUGCACGCUGACAACAGGGACCCCGCACGUGGCCCCUAGAGGUGUUUGAUUGGUGCAGGCAGGUGGGCCGGCAGAGGCACGUCGCCGGUGACGUGCGCCAUGACGAAGCCGAACCGAUCGAGAGCGACAGGGAGACGGAGCACGUACACGCACGCACGGCUCACCCAGCUUCACCGCCCGCGCGCGGCGGCGACCGUGCGGCGCGCCGGCGGCGACCGUGCGGCGCGCCGGCGGCGACGUGACCCUUUUGCGUGAUCUCCGGGCUGAUCCGCGGGUGUCAACGUGCGGCGGGACGCGCCGUACCGGGCGGUCGGCCGCCGUCCGAUGACGUCCCCGGCGCCGCGGAUCCAACUCGAUCUGGCAACCGCCAGCCAACCUGCAGUCUGAAACUUGACGCCUUGUUGGACCGAUCCCAAUAGGAGACCGUGACGCUACGUGCCUAGUACGUGCAGGAGGGCAAGCUUGGGGACCUGAUCGAUGAUUCGGGCAAGGUUAGAUUCGACUGAUUUCGAUCGGAUCCAGGCAGUGUGCGUGAUGACCGAUGAGCAUCCGCGUGAGCGCCGGAAGCACUGACAGUGUCGGUCUCCCUUCGGUCAGGUCGGAUCUGAUCUCCGAUGGUCGCCCUGCUCAUGUCGCCGGCCGCCCGCCGGCAAAGGCCACAUGACCGGCGUCCUUCCCUGUGCAGCUUCUCAG
rnacentral:lncRNA from 1 species